CAUCGUGUCACGUGACCAACCGGCAAGUCACGUGACGGGGAACAGGCACUAGCCGGACCUGGAGGAUCUGCUGGUGUUUUUUGGCGCUGUGCUUUUUUGGGAGCAGAGGAUAGGAACCAUCUCACUCCCCCUCUCGCAAAUACCUUAGUUUCGGGUAGUGUCCAGCGAUGGGGAAAUGAGGCCUCUCUUACCAUGUCUGGCUGGCGGCGACCCAGAUGCCACGUGAUGGUCAUUUGAAGACAGGACUGCUGGACAUCAGUUUAUAUUCAGGUGUCCUGUGGUGUUGGUAUUGAUCUGAGCUGAUGCUGGACGCAGGGCAGCACCCAACUAACUACGCUGAUGUUCAAGGUAUCAGAGCAGCUCACAUUGGUCUGAAACUUUUCCAAAAGUUCAUGAAAGAUGCUGAGUGACUAGAACGUCCACAUGAAGAGAAACGAUACCCGAGGCCCAAGGACUCCUAAUAACAGUAAUGAUCUUUGCAAGAACUAGUCACUUUUUAACUGGUACCUUUUAGCCUGUAUCAUGCUGCUGUGCUGUGUCACUCUGUCCACUAACAGCUCCAUAAUGGAGCGCGCACCUGGUAAGUGCUGAGGUCAGGAUUCAGACCCCCACAGUCUGAAUCCAGAGCCUGCACAGCUGACCUUUGAGACAUUUACAGGCACAGCUCUCCUGGCUAUCCUGAUGGCAACUCCGGUAUUGACCAAGGGAUGAAGCUGUUGUGCUGAGUGAGGACAGGUAGGAAGAGGGCUGAGCUGUCAGGGACAGUAAAGUAAAUCUCUGCUUAUCCUAUUCAAUAUGGUGAAGUCGGACACUGUGAAAUCAAUAAAACCCAAGAUUUUCUUAACCACACUGAUCUCCAUCUUGUUUGUUGCCCCAGACUCAGAGAGGCCACAGUUACAAUAUAUUGCCUUGGGGAGUCCCCAGAGGAGGCCCCCAAAGUAAACAAUUCAUUUGUCCUCCCAACCAGGGUUCGCUCGUAUAUCUUGCCAAUACUUCAUGCUUAAAACCAAACAGCUCAUCUUUGUCUCUAAACUGACUUCUCCCGUCCUAAAUGUUUCUGACAGUUGCUUGGGUUCAUAAACUUGUUCUUUCUCUGCCAUCUUCCCUGUAUCUAAAGUGUUAAGAUUUUGAGAACUUUUUAAAGCAAGGACAAGUCUUACUUUGUUGCCUUCUGCCUAGCAAUAGAUACUGAACUAAUUGUAAAAUGAAAGUGUUUCUAGUGUGGCACUCCCACCGUGCUGGGUCCCAGGUGCUGGGAAAGCAUGGACCUCUGCCUGUUCCCUCUCCAGUUUCACACCCAAGCAUGCCAUGGCUACUGUUGUUUCCCUUCACUGAGACUCUGAUUUUUUCCUUUUUCAUUUCUGUCAGCCACCUUGCUAAGGCGUGUGGUUACCUUCCUCUUUUCUGGGCAGGUAUAGUAGCCUGCUUGGCUAUUCUUGUCUUUUGAUCUGUUCCUGCUUAGACUCCCCCGUGCGGUGGAAGGUUCUCUAUCAGUCCUAUAAUGCUUUAGGUGGUCUCUUGGGAUUUCAAAUUCCAGUUCCAGAUGUUCUCUGGUUGGUUCUUUUAGGCAUCACUUGGUCUUUCUGGCUAAAGAAUAAAUCUUCCAAGGCAAGAACAAGAGUUGUUUUUCUAACAAUAGCCUGUAAUUCAGGUCCAUUGCUGUCAGGUAUCUGACAAUUUUAGAGGGUCCCUUUAUAAUAUGUCCUGAAGAAAUGUUAAGUGACUUAAUUAAAAUUCAUGUCUCGAGGUAUUGGAUCAACCUUUCUUCUCCCCUUUUACAAAUUGCUAUAGAGAUUUUUUUGCUACUGCAAUAUCAUAUGAUAUCAGGUGGUUUCCUGUCCCUGAGAUGUGGGACCUGGAGGGUAGAGGAUGUACCUUGAAGAUGGGGUGCAUCUCUGGGAGGCACCUCAUGGUGGCGACAGCAAUGACCUCAGCCAGCAGAUGAGUGCUCAGCAGAUGAUGAUGCAGCUGGUGCAGUUGAAAAUCUGAAUUUCGGACCCAGCACUUUGCCAGGAGCCAAGCAAGUGGGGGGUCUGAGGGCAGGAACAGUGCUGGGAUGGGGAGACUAGGGCUGGGAGGCUGGAUCUGGGGGAAAAAAAAUUAAGCAUGUAUUGAGCUCCUACUUUACAGAUGACAUUAUGCUUCCCAUUCUGGAGGAAGCCAACCAAAUUAGACACUUUCCUUCCAGGAGGCUGUAACUUAGUUGGAGGAUCGAGGACCUCGGUAGACUUGGCACCUGCCAGUGCCCUGGUGGUUGCCCUCAAUGCAGGGGUCAGAAGCAGGGGUCCAGAAAGGAAGCCCUAACAGUGCUUUGGAAGAAACAUGAUGGUGUCUGUGUGGAUGGGAGAAUGGAAAAGGGAAGCUGGAUAUGUGUGCUAAUUGACUGUUCACAUGAACUGACUGUUGAGAACUAUAGGGAAAAAGAUAUUCUAGAAAAGAUGGAUAGUUAGAGUCAGAGGCCACUGAGAAAUUAAGUAGUGAUUUUUUUUUUAAAGAUUUAUUUACUUUUGCAUAGAAGAACAGGGGUGUUGGCCAGAAGUUCAGGGGGUGAGAGGAUUCACCAGAGACAGUGGGGAGCAGAACUGGCAGAUCUACUGAAAUACACUGCUACAGGGAGCUGCAGGUGAGACAGAAGAGUUCUGCUGCUCCAUGUGGGUCACCUCCCUGGCUGGGGAUUGAACUCAGACCAUUGAGAUGAUAGCGCUGAGACUUAACCCCUGUACCACCAGGGAGGCCCUAAGCAGUGAUUCUUAAGGUGUGUUCCCAAACAGCAGCAUCAGCAUCACUUUGGAACUUGUUAGCAAAUUCUUGGCCUCUGCCCCAGGCCUACUGAAUCAGAAAAUCUGGUGGUGGGACCAGGCAACCUUUGUUUUAACAAGCCCUUCUGGUGAUUCUAAUGCAGGCUGAAGUUAGUUCCACUGGGUAUAGGAUGAGACUCCUAAAGGCCCUAUGACUCUUGAACAAGUCCUUCCAGUUGGAUGAGUCAGGGGAAACGAGGCUGUGAGCAAACUGUGGCAUAAGGACAGGUCCCAUUGUGUGAGGAAGGAGUUUGGGAGCCACGAGUCAGGGGGCUGGGUCCUUGGCAGGGGAAGCUGGAGUGGACAGAGGACAGUAUUGGCAGGAGGACGCCCACGGCACCACACCUGGAUGACCAUGGGUAGCAGUUUCCCAUCAGAUUCCAUCUUCAGCAUCACGAGAGGAGCUGCCAGGUACUGCUUCUCUCCUCGGAUCACGUUGGCUGGAAUUCCAUCGAGCAGGAUGAAGUCAGCCUCAAACAGGGAGCCUUGCUGGGGAAGGAGUUCACGUAUAGCUCGAGAUCAGAGUCGACCACCAGAGGGUCAGGGCAGGGGUGGGGGUGUUUAAAGAUGUUUAUCUGUAUCAAUACCAGAGUCUUGGCAGAACUAGAGCAUCUGGUGCAUUUUAUCUCACUCUAAAGAGAUAGCCUGGGGAGGUGGGCCUCUUCCUCAGGGAUAUGUGGUAGCCAUUCUUAGUUUAGAACCAGAUCUGCUCCAGUUUGCAUUACCAGCAUUGGAAACUAUUGCUUUGUCAAGACAGCGAGUCUCCUUUCCUAUGAUUCUCAUGAUUCCCCUGAUCUCUACUCUCCGUGUUUGGCCUCCACCAACUCAGCAAAUGCUUUCACUUCCUGAUCCUAUCACCUCCUCUACCAAAUAUUCCACUGAAACAAACAAUAUGUUUGUUCCCUUAGCCACCACUAUCACUGAAUCCAGCAAAGGCAUGAACAUACUCACACCUUUCCUGCCUCAUCCUUCUCACAGCUCCUCUCUUCUAAACCCAGGCUCCUUCAGGGAACCUUCCAAUCCCCCAGCUGGAUGGAGCUUUCUUCAUUUUCCGGGCCCAGCACACUGGUGUCCACAGCACUGAUAUUAGCCAGGAAAUGUCAUUAUCCCUGCUAACAUCCCUGACCCGUUCUGUGCUCUAGGAAUCCAUCCUUUUUCUCCUUCUAUAUGAGAGCUCCUUAUAGAUGUUCCUACAUGCCUUAUCUUUGGGUGUUCCAGGACAGGACACUGCCCCCGGGCACAGUGGCUACCACACUCUCCCUUUACUUAUUCAUCCUUGGUCCCUUCCCUUAUUGUUUCUUCUCCCCACAUACAAGGAGAAAGCAAGGCAGGGAGGGAGGGGGUACCUGGAGUUCUUUCUCUAACUGAGUCCGAAGUUCCUCCAUCCCAGGGGGCAGCACCAGCCUGGAGGGCAGAGAGGUGGAGCGUCUCAACAUCAUGGGGUUGGCACCGUUGAGGAACUGGUAGCCGAAAAUCUCAUCAUCCUGCCAGCGCUGAUGGACCAUCUCUGUGGGGUUGAGGGUGGAGUGUAGAAGGAGAAUAUUUACCUUAGGCCGCAUGUCCCUCUCCUCUAGUCCCUCCCCCACCACUGAGAUUCUGUCAUGACCACCCCAUAUUCAGCCCUUGCCUUUUCAUCUCAAGGCCUCUGUGAGAUGAUGAGACACCAUAAGGUCUCAUCUGGAUAGGAAUUAUUGGGCUCUAUGGAGUGUAAUGUUUGGUCAUCUACGGGCAUGAAGAGGUUUAUCAAGACCUGGGGAAACCACUGACCAGCUAGGGCACUCUUCGGGCCCCAGAAGAUCUGAUCAAAAUCCUCCAGACGGUUCCAGGGGCUCAGAAGGGUAUAAACACGCUUGAGGAUAGUCUCCAGAGUCCUAGGAUAGGUGUUGAGGCAUGAACACCUGGGUCAAUUCCUCAGCCCCUCACCGUGUACUAUCAUUCUUGGAUCUCCAAGCCCUUAUUUCACCCUGAGCUCCAGGAUUUUUCUUACCCUGCCUUCUGUGUCCAUUCAAAGUCCAGCCUCUUCUCCUCAUGGAAUCUCAUAUUUGGAGGUAGAUCCUCCGUAGAGCCAGCAGCUAUUGUCAGGGGUAACCCUUCCUUCCAGGUGGCCCAGCUAGGAGAUGGGGACAGGGCUUCAGUGGGCUGUCUGGGUCAGUGGUGGGGACAGGGGCAGGGA